CGAGCAUCAUUGGCGCUGGAGAUACAUUGGUUAAAAUAAACUAGAACAUUUGUAUAAGGUUACGGCGGGUUCCUGAGCAGAUUGGGAUCAAUGUUGUCCCCCCAGAUGAUCCAACUCCAUCAGUAAGCCAUCAGAGUAUCCCCUGCAUGGGGGAGUAGGAGGGGGGUGGGAGGGGGCACAUUAGGUUUAUAAAGCUUUAUAAAGAGGUUAGUCACCUUCCACUAGAAGGUCUCUGUGGAUUGGUUUGCUGUGAAGAAGAGGCCAUAUUGGGCCACCUGAUCAGCAGCCUCCUUCU